rnacentral:lncRNA from 1 species
GGAGAUGCAUAUGCAUAUGCAUGGAUGAUGACAGCAAACAAGCAAGCAAGCUGGAUCACGUACUUGUUGCAGUCGGUGGACAUGCUGAUGGGGAAUCCGACGGAGACGCCGCACUUGCCGGGGAUGGUGGCGACGGUGCCCAUGUUGACGCUCUUGACGCUGUUGGCGAGGCUCUUGAGGCAGCGGCACGCCGCCUGGCGGUCCGCGCUGGUCCGCGCCGCGCUGUUGAGGCUCUUGACGCCGCUGCAGCACGACGCGGGGAGCGCGCUGGCCCUCCCCGUCGCGUACGGGAUGCACGGCGCCAGCGACGACCCCACCUGCCCG